rnacentral:rRNA from 1 species
CCUACGGGUGGCAGCAGUGGGGAAUAUUGCACAAUGGGGGAAACCCUGAUGCAGCGACGCCGCGUGAGUGAAGAAGUAAUUCGUUAUGUAAAGCCCUAUCAGCAGGGAAGAAAAUGACGGUAUCUGAGUAAGAAGCACCGGCUAACUACGUGCCAGCAGCCGCGGUAAUACGUAGGGGGCAAGCGUUAUCCGGAUUUACUGGGUGUAAAGGGAGCGUAGACGGGAGUGCAAGUCUGGAGUGAAAGGCGGGGGCUCAACCACCGGACUGCUCUUGAAACUGUACGGCUGGAGUGCGGGAGAGGUAAGUGGAAUUCCUGGUGUAGCGGUGAAAUGCGUAGAGAUUAGGAGGAACACCAGUGGCGAAGGCGGCUUACUGGAAUGUAACUGACGUUGAGGCGCGAAAGCGUGGGGAGCAAACAGGAUUAGAUACCCGGGUAGUC